rfam:Trichomalopsis sarcophagae strain Alberta scaffold6790, whole genome shotgun sequence.
CAAUCGGCCCUUUUCAGGGCCAUCAUAUUUUUUUUAACGUAAAACA